rnacentral:snRNA from 1 species
CAAGCAGCCAUCCAGGGGAGAUACCAUGAGCACGAAGGUGGUUUUCCCAGGGCGAAGCUUAUCCAUUGCACACCAGAUGUGCUGACCCCUGCAAUUUCCCCAAAUGUGGGAAACUCGACUGCAUAAAUUGUGGUAGUGGGGGACUGCGUUUGCGCUCUCCCCUG